AAGUCUCAAGCAGGCAGAUCCAAUUUUCUGCCACCGAAUACAUUAGCAUGGGAUAAUGGAAUAGGCACCCUGUCCUCCUAUUUUCAGUUGGUUUUGGCAGCGCGAGGACUAGGGUAAUGAUUAAUAGGGAUAGUUGGGGGCAUUAAUAUUUAAUUGUCAGAGGUGAAAUUCUUGGAUUUAUGAAAGAUUAACUUCUGCGAAAGCAUCUGCCAAGGAUGUUUUCAUUAAUCAAGAACGAAAGUUAGGGGAUCGAAGACGAUCAGAUACCGUCGUAGUCUUAACCAUAAACGAUGCCGACCAGCGAUUAGGAGACGUUGAAUACAAAACACCACCAUCGGUUGCGCGGUCAUCCUUGGCGUCUCGGUUUCGGCCGGGGCGCGGGGAUGGCUUAUCCCGGUGGCACCGGUGAAUGACUCCCCUAAAGCUUGUGAGAAAA
rnacentral:rRNA from 1 species